rnacentral:rRNA from 1 species
GCGUGAGUGAAGAAGGCCUUAGGGUUGUAAAGCUCUUUCGGCGGUGACGAUGAUGACGGUAACCGCAGAAGAAGCCCCGGCUAACUCCGUGCCAGCAGCCGCGGUAAUACGGAGGGGGCGAGCGUUGUUCGGAAUUACUGGGCGUAAAGGGCGCGUAGGCGGAUCAUUGCGUCAGAGGUGAAAGCCCUGGGCUCAACCCAGGAAUAGCCUUUGAUACGGGUGGUCUUGAGUGCGGGAGAGGAUGGUGGAAUUCCCAGUGUAGAGGUGAAAUUCGU